GACAGGUAUGAGACAGGUGAGAUAGGUAUGAGACAUGUGGGACAGGUAUGAGACAUGCGGGACAGGUAUGAGACAGGUGAGAUAGGUAUGAGACAUGUGGGACAGAUAUGAGACAUGCGGGACAGGUAUGAGACAGGUGAGACAGGUAUGAGACAGGUGAGAUAGGUAUGAGACAUGUGGGACAGGUAUGAGACAUGUGAGACAGGUAUGAGACAGGUGAGACAGGUAUGAGACAUGCAGGACAGGUAUGAGACAUGUGGGACAGGUAUGAGACAGGUGAGACAGGUAUGAGACAUGUGGGACAGGUAUGAGACAGGUAUGAGACAGGUGAGACAGGUAUGAGACAGGUAUGAGACACGUGGGAAAGUUAUGAGACAGGUGAGACUGGUAUGAGACAUGUGGGACAGGUAUGAGACAGGUGAGACAGGUAUGAGACAGGUGAGACAGGUAUGAGACACGUGGGACAGGUAUGAAACACAUGGGACAGGUAUGAGACAUAUGAGACAGGUAUGAGACAGGUGAGACAGGUAUGAGACAUGUGGGACAGGUAUGAGACAUGUGGGACAGGUAUGAGACAGGUGAGACAGGUAUGAGACACGUGGGACAGGUAUGAGACAGGUAUGAGACAUGUGGGACAGGUAUGAGACAGGUGAGACAGGUAUGAGACAUGUGGGACAGGUAUGAGACAGGUAUGAGACAGGUAUGAGACAUGUGGG